AGGACGAACGCUUGCGACGUGCCUAAGAAAUGCAAGUCGAACGGACAGCAGCAAUGUUGUUAGUGGCGAACGGUCGCGUAACACGUGGGCAACCUGCCCUGAAGCGGGGGACAACAGCUUGAAAGAGCUGCUAAUACCGCAUGUGUAUCGGAAUGGCAUCAUUCAGGAUACAAAGCCGCAAGGCACUUCAGGAUGGGCCCGCGGCCUAUCAGCUAGUUGGUGAGGUAACGGCUCACCAAGGCUUCGACGGGUAGCUGGUCUGAGAGGACGAUCAGCCGGAUUGGGACUGAGAUACGGCCCAGACUCCUACGGGGGGCAGCAAUUAGGAAUCUUGCACAAUGGGCGAAAGCCUGAUGCAGCGACGUCGCGUGAAGGAUGAAAUCUUUCGGGAUGUAAACUUCUUUUCUGGGAAGAACAAUGACGGUACCAGAGAAUAAGCCCCGGAUAACUACGCGCCAGCAGCCGCGGU
rnacentral:rRNA from 1 species